GCCCUUACACCUUAUAAUACAAAGUCAUAAACAUAAACUACAAAUAACCAUCUCCCUGGCAUUGCUAGAAAAAAUAACAGCAAACCAGAGAGAUCCCUACAUAAUAACCAAUAAUUAUAAACCUAUAACACAAGCCAACAAUGCUCAAGAGAUGUCAAAAAUCCCAUCUACAAGAGCCGGUGAUGGUCCAUCCAUCAUCAAUUCGACGACAGAAUUGCGUCCCAGUCGAUAUCCCCCGACGGAUACUUCCUCAGCACAAAGCUAUCAGCCUCGUCCCACGGCACCUCAGUGAAAUCCAGCUGCUGCAUUUCCGUCAUCUCCGACAUCGGCGGCGACCCCUCCUCUGAGGAGCUCUCCGUCUCCUCCUUGCUCGGAGACGCCAGCGGAGCUGGCAGCUCAGGCCCGCUCUUCGCCAGGUUCUGGCAGACGGCCUGGAGCUUGGCGUCGAGUGGGCCAGCGGUGGCGACCGGGCGGGGGAGGCCGGGGAAGUUGAGCCGAGCGAAGUCGCCUCGGAGGCGGUAGGCAGCUUUGUCAUAAGCCAUGGCAGCCUCCUCCGCGGUGUCGAAUGUGCCGAGCCAGAGGCGGGUGCGGUUCUUG
rnacentral:misc_RNA from 1 species